rnacentral:lncRNA from 1 species
UAAUCAAACUUUAAUCAAACCUUUGUCAAACCUUGAUCAAGUCCUUGUCAAAUCCUAAUUAAACCUUAAAUAAGCUCUAACCAAAUCCUAGACAAAUCCUAAUCGAAUCCUAAUCAAAUCCUAAAUAAAUUUUAGUCAAAUCUUAAAUAAGCCUUAAUCAAAACUUAGACAAAUCCUACUCAAAUCCUAAUCAAAUCUUAGUCAAAUCUUUAUCAAACCCUAGUCAAAUCCUAAAUAAAUCUAACCAAAUUCUUACCUAAACUAAAUCCUAAUCAAAUCCUAAAUAACUCUUGAUCAAAUCCUAAAUAAACCUUAGUCAAAUUCUAGUCAAAUCCUAAAUAAGCCUUAACCAAAUCUUAGACAAAUUCUAAUCAAAUCCUAAUCAAACCUUGGUCAAAUCCUUGUUAAAUCUAAGUCAAAUCCUAAAUAAAUCUAACCAAAUCUUAAGUUAAACUAAAUCCUAAUCCUAACCAAAUCCUAACCUUAAUAAAACCUUAAAUCAAAUUUAAAAUCUUAAUUCUAAUAUUAAUCAAAUUCUAAUAAUUAAAUCUUAAAUCAAAUCUUAAUCAAUCUAAAAUCCUAAACCAAAUCCUAAUCAAUCCUAAGUAAUUCCUAUAAUAAAUUUAAACCUCAAUAAUUAAUAAAUAAACCAUUAAUUUUAACUCAAAUUUUAUACACUUAUUACCAAUUAAGUUGAUAACAAUCAAAAAAAUUGAAAAAGAUCAAAAUUACUAAAAUAGACAAUAAUCCUAAAAAAUG